rnacentral:rRNA from 1 species
UAGGGAAUCUUCCGCAAUGGACGCAAGUCUGACGGAGCAACGCCGCGUGAGUGAAGAAGGAUUUCGGUUCGUAAAACUUUGUUGUUAGAGAAGAACAGCGCAUAGAGUAACUGUUAUGCGUGUGACGGUAUCUAAACAGAAAGCCACGGCUAACUACGUGCCAGCAGCCGCGGUAAUACGUAGGGGGCAAGCGUUGUCCGGAUUUAUUGGGCGUAAAGCGAGCGCAGGCGGUCAAUUAAGUCUGAUGUGAAAGCCCCCGACUCAACCGUGGAGGUUCAUUGGAAACUGUUAGACUUGAAUGCAGAUGAGGUGGGUGGAAUUCCACAUGUAGCGGUGAAAUGCUUAGAUAUAUGGUGGAACACCGAUUGCGAAGGCAACUCUCUGGUCUGUAACUGACGCUGAGGCUCGAAAGCGUGGGUAGCAAACAGG